UCAGUCGGCCGGACGGCCGCUCCGGCACCGGCCGAAAGGCCGCCGGGGAGGAAAGUCCGGGCUCCAUCGACAUACGGUGCCGGAUAACAUCCGGCGGGGGCGACCCCAGGGAAAGUGCCACAGAGAACGAACCGCCUGCCUUCGCCCUUUGGGCUUCGGCAGGUAAGGGUGAAAAGGUGCGGUAAGAGCGCACCGCGUCGCCGGCAACGGCAACGGCAUGGCAAACCACACCGGGAGCAAAACCGAAUAGGGACGGCGCAGCGGCUGGUUCGCGCAAGCGAUAACACCGCGAGAUCGUGUCGGAUCU
rnacentral:RNase_P_RNA from 1 species